rnacentral:rRNA from 1 species
GGGUGAGGAAUACAUCGGAAUCUACCCAGUUGUGGGGGAUAACGUAGGGAAACUUACGCUAAUACCGCAUACGACCUACGGGUGAAAGCAGGGGACCUUCGGGCCUUGCGCGAUUGGAUGAGCCGAUGUCGGAUUAGCUAGUUGGUGAGGUAAAGGCUCACCAAGGCGACGAUCCGUAGCUGGUCUGAGAGGAUGAUCAGCCACACUGGAACUGAGACACGGUCCAGACUCC